rnacentral:tRNA from 1 species
GCGGGUGUAGUUCAAUGGUAGAACGAGAGCUUCCCAAGCUGUCCGCAAUGAGGCGAUUUCAUUCGCCCGCG